CCGGUCCUACGGGGCGCAGCAGUGGGGAAUAUUGCACAAUGGGGGGAACCCUGAUGCAGCGACGCCGCGUGGGUGAAGAAGUAUUUCGGUAUGUAAAGCCCUAUCAGCAGGGAAGAAAAAUGACGGUACCUGACUAAGAAGCCCCGGCUAACUACGUGCCAGCAGCCGCGGUAAUACGUAGGGGGCAAGCGUUAUCCGGAUUUACUGGGUGUAAAGGGAGCGUAGACGGCCAGACAAGUCAGAAGUGAAAGCCCAGGGCUCAACCCUGGGACUGCUUUUGAAACUGCCGGGCUGGAGUGCAGGAG
rnacentral:rRNA from 1 species